UCAGCUCUCUUUGCCUUUUGGCUUAGAUCAAGUGUAGUAGCUGUUCUUUUUAGUUUAAUCUCUAGAACGCCCCUACGGGGGCACUUCUUUUGAUUAAGCUAGUUUUUGGCAAUCGGCUGCGCGCCGCUCUGGGCUCCGCCUAACCGUCGCCGGCCACAGUGUCGCCAGUAUUGCACUGUAUCUGGCUGAUGCGAAGGGCG
rfam:Diplodia corticola strain CBS 112549 scaffold44, whole genome shotgun sequence.